GAUCCUGGCUCAGAUUGAACGCUGGCGGCAGGCCUAACACAUGCAAGUCGAGCGGUAGAGAGAAGCUUGCUUCUCUUGAGAGCGGCGGACGGGUGAGUAAUGCCUAGGAAUCUGCCUAGUGGUGGGGGAUAACGUUCGAAACGGACGCUAAUACCGCAUACGUCCUACGGGAGAAAGCGGGGGAUCUUCGGACCUCGCGCCAUUAGAUGAGCCUAGGUCGGAUUAGCUAGUUGGUGAGGUAAUGGCUCACCAAGGCGACGAUCCGUAACUGGUCUGAGAGGAUGAUCAGUCACACUGGAACUGAGACACGGUCCAGACUCCUACGGGAGGCAGCAGUGGGGAAUAUUGGACAAUGGGCGAAAGCCUGAUCCAGCCAUGCCGCGUGUGUGAAGAAGGUCUUCGGAUUGUAAAGCACUUUAAGUUGGGAGGAAGGGCAGUAACCUAAUACGUUAUUGUUUGACGUACCGA
rnacentral:rRNA from 1 species